rnacentral:rRNA from 1 species
AAGGAAUAUUGGGCAAUGGUCGAAAGACUGACCCAGCCAUGCCGCGUGCAGGAUGAAGGCCCUAUGGGUUGUAAACUGCUUUUAGCCGGGAAUAAACACCCGUUUUAUAACGGGCCCGAAGGUACCGGCUGAAUAAGCAUCGGCUAACUCCGUGCCAGCAGCCGCGGUAAUACGGAGGAUGCAAGCGUUAUCCGGAUUCACUGGGUUUAAAGGGUGCGCAGGCGGACAUUUAAGUCAGGGGUGAAAUCCUACAGCUUAACUGUAGAACUGCCCUUGAUACUGAAUGCCUAGAGUAAAGCUGAAGUGGGCGGAAUGUGUUGUGUAGCGGUGAAAUGCUUAGAUAUAACACAGAACACCAAUCGCGAAGGCAGCUCACUAAACUUUAACUGACGCUCAUGCACGAAAGCGUGGGGAGCAAAC